rnacentral:misc_RNA from 1 species
GAAAUGCGAUAAGUAGUGUGAAUUGCAGAAUUCAGUGAAUCAUCGAAUCUUUGAACGCACAUUGCGCCCCUUGGUAUUCCAUGGGGCAUGCCUGUUCGAGCGUCAUUUGUACCCUCAAGCUCUGCUUGUUGUUGGGUGUUUGUCCCGUCUCCGCGCGUGGACUCGCCCCAAAGUGAUUGGCAGCCGGCGUACUGGUCCCGGAGCGCAGCACAUGUCGCGCAAACGAGUGCCUUGGUACGGCGGCGUCCAUAAGCCCCUCUCUCACGCUCUUGACCUCGGAUCAGGUAGGGAUACCCGCUGAACUUAAGC